UCAUUUAUAUAUGAGAAAUUUAGGAAAAAAACUCUGUUUUUAAAAAUAUUUACAAAAUUUACCUCAGUGCUAAAAAGUUAACAAAAAUACUCUCCAUUAUUUUAUUUUUAUUUUUUUACUCUAAAAUAUAAAAUAGUUAUUUAUUUACUCGUACAGUUAUCUACAAAUACUCUAUAAUUCUUUUAAUUUUUGUUUUUUACUCUUCUUUAUUUUUUUUUCAGGAUCUCCUCUUCUUUCACAGAUCUCACGAAUAGCGAUACAACAGCACGGUGGCCGUUCGUCCAUUUACGUAACCCUUAAAAUGAUCUAAUUGUCACUGUGACCGGUUUCGGGUCGCUGCUUGCCCCUCCACUCCUUCGCCGGAGCGACCCGAUCCAUCAUCCCCUUUGCGAUUAUCCACCGCCGCCUCUCAUUAUAGCUUGAUGUAGCUUCGCUUGCAGAGGCGUCGCCGUCUCUCCCUGUGCCCUAGCUUUUGAUUACUCUGUUGUGCUUCAUUUAGGGAGAAAGUCAAAAGAUGAUAAUCUCUUGUCGCCAAAGAUAGAAAACAAUCAAGUGUUUAGGCCUAUCUGAUGUUGUCUUUUUCUUGCUUAAUCAGUACUGGAUUCAAAUUAUACAGAUAUUGUUGAUAUAUGUUGCUCUCAGUUGUAACUUAUAUGAUCCAUGUUACGACUGUAUUUACUAAUCUAUUAUUAGAGCCAAGUUUGUGUAACUUUUUCAGAUUGAAGAUGAGUAUGUCUCACUGCUCGACUACAAGUCCUCAAACAUUCUUUUAAACUGGCCAAGAUUUUGCAAAGAUUGAAAAGUGCCAUGGAAGGUAGCUUUUGCCCGGCAAGGUCAUUUUACUGUUGAUGCCCUCUUGUACUGCAAUUUAGUAAAUUUAGUAAGUAGAUUAUGGUGCUGGCAGUUUGACUUAUGUAAGGAAUUUGUUCCUUUGAUAUUAAAUUAGUGCUUUUAUAUAA